UAUGGAGUGUAUUUUGUUAAAGUGCAAUGGUCUAGUGCAAUAAAAAAAUUAUUUGUGAUUGAAUAAGUAAUACAUGGACACAACCCUGACGCAUUGUUCGUUCCAAGAACUCUCACAAUAAAAUACGAGCCUUCAAUUGUUUAACAAAGAGAGUCGAGAUGAAAAGCCCGGGAUUCGAACACCCAGGAUCUUUCGCAUAUCGAAAGAACGCUCUACCACUUGAGCCACGAAGACCUGUUAUAUAGACCUAUUUAUAUUUAAUAAAUUACUUAUUUCAUCGUAUAUUUUUCCUUCUUUUUGCGCAACUUGAAAAUUAAUAUUUUCUAACUUUUAGAAAUUGAAGAUCUUUUCGGAUAUAUGAUCAAUAUCGUAAUACUUCACCAUGAACACUGGAUUGUGACUAAAAAAUGUACAUAAGACGACAACUAAUGACAUUUAAUGUUUAAGAUUAAUUCCAGGAAAAAUUUGUUUUCAUUAAUUCUCGAUUUUACUUUUAUAUAUUCAAAUACUUUGGUGAGUCACUGUAAGUGAUCCAUUGACACGACGUGACUUGUGUAUUUCCCCCUUAAGAUAUAUCUUCAAUUCACGACAUUUGAAGUGUUCUAUUUCUGGAUCAACUCCUUCCGCCCUUACAACGUGGAAGUGGAAAAGGAUAACAAUCCUUUUUCAAGCAGAGUGGGAAUGAGCGUUCACGAGACCGUGCACAGUAAGAGGGUGAGAACCACUACGACCGUACAACCCCAUGCCUAUUAUCAUUAAUAGGAAUGGACGAUAUCCUGAUAUACUAAAAACGAUUGGGAAAGUGAAUCUGGAAAAAAACGUAGAAGAAUUUAUUGAGAAAAAUCAAGGUGAAGAAAGCUACUAAAAACGAUUGAAGAAAAAUGACAAUUAUCUUCAAGACCGACUCCGCCUGGUUAAUACCUUGCUGAUCCCAAUCUCAGACAAAGGAGAAGGGUUCGAGGAUGAGGCGAGCAACCUACCCUCGAUAAAAAUAAUAAAUCGUUCCCGAAAAUAGCAUUAAAAAAAAAAAGCUAUUCUAACAGGACGAAGUCAUAAUAAAAAGAAGAAAAAGAAGAAUCUUCGAGACCGUAAAAAUGUCAAUUCUCUAGCGAUAGAUGAACUUUAAACGCCAAACGAUAAUAAUGAGGAUCAACUGGAAAAAUUAGAAUACCGCAGUUUCUUUUGUAAAAUAUUCAUAGCUUUUUCCGCAUAUUCUAACACGAAAAUAAUAUUUAGUAUGAAAUUUGAAGAUGCUGGAAUUCCUGUUACACACGGAUUAAGAUUUCUUUCGAUUAUGUGGAUUAUUUUGCUGCACACAUUUUACUUGUGUAAAUGUAAAUUUUGUUGAUAACAAAAUUUUGUUAAUAAAUUAUUGAUAAAUUCA
rnacentral:lncRNA from 1 species